AGUGAUGCAUGACUGUAAUCCCAGGUCUGGAGAGGUGGAAAGGAGAAGGGGGGAAAGUGUGUAGGAGGGCUGAAUGUGUGGUGUGCGGGUCUGGACCUAUACAGAAUCCCAGCACCCAAUGGUAAAGGCAGGAGGCUAAAUAAUGAGUUCCAGGUCCGAUAUGACUACAAAGUGAUUUCCUGUUUCAAAUGCUAACCCCACCCCCC